UGCUCCUGUCAGUUUAGCUGGUUUGCAUCAGCUGACUAUUGUGCUGUGCAAAUCCAUGCAAAACUGACUGUGGCU
rfam:Xenopus tropicalis strain Nigerian Chr08_contig_1455, whole genome shotgun sequence.